UGGCUCAGUUGCUAGAGCAUGGCGCUUGCAAUGCUAGGGUUGUGGGUUCGAUUCCCAU
rnacentral:tRNA from 1 species